CCUAAGUCGGAUUAGCUAGUUGGUGGGGUAAUGGCUCACCAAGGCAACGAUCCGUAGCUGGUCUGAGAGGAUGAUCAGCCACAUCGGGACUGAGACACGGCCCGAACUCCUACGGGAGGCAGCAGUGGGGAAUAUUGGACAAUGGGCGUAAGCCUGAUCCAGCCAUGCCGCGUGUGUGAAGAAGGCUUUCGGGUUGUAAAGCACUUUCAGUGAGGAGGAAGGCUUUCAGAUUAAUACUCUGGAGGAUUGACGUCACUCACAGAAGAAGCACCGGCUAACUCCGUGCCAGCAGCCGCGGUAAUACGGAGGGUGCAAGCGUUAAUCGGAAUUACUGGGCGUAAAGCGCGCGUAGGUGGUUGAGUAAGCGAGAUGUGAAAGCCCCGGGCUUAACCUGGGAACGGCACUUCGAACUGCUCGGCUAGAGUGUGGUAGAGGGUAGUGGAAUNUCCUGUGUAGCGGUGAAAUGCGUAGAUAUAGGAAGGAACACCAGUGGCGAAGGCGGCUACCUGGACCAACACUGACACUGAGGUGCGAAAGCGUGGGGAGCAAAUAGGAUUAGAUACCCUGGUAGUCCACGCCGUAAACGAUGUCAACUAGCCGUUGGGGAUCUUGAAUCCUUAGUGGCGCAGCUAACGCACUAAGUUGACCGCCUGGGGAGUACGGCCGCAAGGUUAAAACUCAAAUGAAUUGACGGGGGCCCGCACAAGCGGUGGAGCAUGUGGUUUAAUUCGACGCAACGCGAAGAACCUUACCUGGCCUUGACAUGCAGAGAACUUUCCAGAGAUGGAUUGGUGCCUUCGGGAACUCUGACACAGGUGCUGCAUGGCCGUCGUCAGCUCGUGUCGUGAGAUGUUGGGUUAAGUCCCGUAACGAGCGCAACCCCUAUCCCUAGUUGCUAGCAGUUCGGCUGAGAACUCUAGGGAGACUGCCGGUGACAAACCGGAGGAAGGUGGGGAUGACGUCAGGUCAUCAUGGCCCUUACGGCCAGGGCUACACACGUGCUACAAUGGUGCGUACAGAGGGUUGCAAACCCGCGAGGGGGAGCCAAUCUCACAAAACGCAUCGUAGUCCGGAUCGGAGUCUGCAACUCGACUCCGUGAAGUCGGAAUCGCUAGUAAUCGUG
rnacentral:rRNA from 1 species